UCGAAAGAAAUUACAGCAGAGAGAGAGAGAGAGGCAGGAAAGAGACACGGCGGCGACGUUUAGGGUUCCGCCGCAAACAAAACGACGGUGACGACUGUGGUUGACGUCGCAAGCUCCGGUUCCGGCAAGAGAUAAGUGGAUGCUAUUGUGGUUAAUAGUCAUGAUAAGAGGAUGCAAUGACUUAUGUGUAUCCCUUUUUGUCACCGUCCCUUCUACCGCCUUACCUAACCUUCUAAUUCGGCCGUUUUGAACCUCCUUCAACCGGGUUUCAGGGUGGUGGUGAAAGCCUGAAUCAACUCUAUAAACGUUGUACAAAUUCAUUGCAAGCGAUUGGCAGUAAACACCAAGGGGAGCGGGUUGUGGUGGUGACUCAUGGUGGUGUGAUCAGAGCACUUCAUGAGUGGGCUUCUUUAGGUACAGGACACCGAGCAGGAAGGAUACUGAACAGUCAAUGUAUUACACUUAUCGGAUCCCGACAAAUAGGUCAUCAAAUCAUGGGGGGAUGUCAGUCAUCUGAAUGGAGCCGGGUACUUAGACUCGGGUUUUGGUGGCGAUCGAACUUCCGGUUAGGCUUUUUCGUACAUGUCCAUUUGUUGACUUGCUAGAUGCAUUUAAUAACCAACAUGUCAAGUCUUUGAUGGGC